rnacentral:rRNA from 1 species
AUUGAAACGCUGGCGGCAUGCCUUACACAUGCAAGUCGAACGGCAGCACGGGUGCUUGCACCUGGGUGGCGAGUGGCGAACGGGUGAGUAAUAUAUCGGAACAUACCCCAGUAAUGGGGGAUAACUAUCCGAAAGGAUAGCUAAUACCGCAUACGCCCUAAGGGGGAAAGAGGGGGAUCGCAAGACCUCUUGUUAUUGGAGUGGCCGAUAUCUGAUUAGCUAGUUGGUAGGGUAAAAGCCUACCAAGGCGACGAUCAGUAGCUGGUUUGAGAGAACGACCAGCCACACUGGAACUGAGACACGGUCCAGACUCCUACGGGAGGCAGCAGUGGGGAAUUUUGGACAAUGGGCGCAAGCCUGAUCCAGCAAUGCCGCGUGAGUGAAGAAGGCCCUCGGGUUGUAAAGCUCUUUUGUCAGGGAAGAAAAGGUGAUCUCUAAUACAGGUCACUCAUGACGGUACCUGAAGAAUAAGCACCGGCUAACUCCGUGCCAGCAGCCGCGGUAAUACGGAGGGUGCAAGCGUUACUCGGAAUCACUGGGCGUAAAGGACGCGUAGGCGGAUUAUCAAGUCUCUUGUGAAAUCCUAUGGCUUAACCAUAGAACUGCUUGGGAAACUGAUAAUCUAGAGUGAGGGAGAGGCAGAUGGAAUUGGUGGUGUAGGGGUAAAAUCCGUAGAGAUCACCAGGAAUACCCAUUGCGAAGGCGAUCUGCUGGAACUCAACUGACGCUAAUGCGUGAAAGCGUGGGGAGCAAACAGG